CUGCAGUCGAACGGCAGCACGGGUGCUUGCACCUGGUGGCGAGUGGCGAACGGGUGAGUAAUACAUCGGAACAUGUCCUGUAGUGGGGGAUAGCCCGGCGAAAGCCGGAUUAAUACCGCAUACGAUCUACGGAUGAAAGCGGGGGACCUUCGGGCCUCGCGCUAUAGGGUUGG
rnacentral:rRNA from 1 species